UGUAGCGGUGAAAUGCGCAGAGAUAUGGAGGAACACCAGUGGCGAAGGCGACUUUCUGGUCUGUAACUGACGCUGAUGUGCGAAAGCGUGGGGAUCAAACAGGAUUAGAUCCCCUGGUAGUCCACGCCGUAAACGAUGAGUGCUAAGUGUUAGGGGGUUUCCGCCCCUUAGUGCUGCAGCUAACGCAUUAAGCACUCCGCCUGGGGAGUACGACCGCAAGG
rnacentral:rRNA from 1 species